UCUCCGUAGGUGAACCUGCGGAGGGAUCAUUACCGAGUGAGGGUCCUUGUGGCCCGACCUCCAACCCCGUCUUCCGACUCUGUUGCCUCGGGGGCGACCCGGCCUUCGGGCGUCGGGGCCCCCGGCGGACCACUCAACUCUGCAUCUUUGCGUCGGAGUUAAAGUAAAUUAAACAAAACUUUCAACAACGGAUCUCUUGGUUCCAGCAUCGAUGAAGAACGCAGC
rnacentral:misc_RNA from 1 species